rnacentral:rRNA from 1 species
AUGGUGGAUUAUCACAAAAAAUUCACAGCCAUGGGAUAUCGCGUACUUAUUUACAGUGGAGAUCAUGAUCUGUGUAUCCCUUUCACUGGAACGGAGGCAUGGGUCAGAUCAUUAGGCUACCGAGUUGUCGAUUCAUGGCAACCAUGGCACUUUGGGGGUCAAGUUGCUGGAUAUACACAAGGCUAUGAUCACAAUCUCACCUUCCUCACCAUAAAGGGAUCUGGACACACUGUUCCUGAGUACAAGCCCAAAGAAUCGCUGGCAUUCUACGCCCACUGGCUGUUUGGACAAAAGAUCUAA